AAGGGCACCACAAGAACGCGUGGAGCAUGUGGCUUAAUUCGACUCAACGCGGGAAAUCUUACCGGGUCCGGACACACUGAGGAUUGACAGGCAAUAUUAUUUAAAUAAUUGAAGCUUCGGUUGAGAUUAUUUUUAUAUGUAAAUAUGCUAGUCCUUUCAUGAUUAUGUGAUAGGUGGUGCAUGGCCGUUCUUAGUUCGUGGAGUGAUCUGUCUGCUUAAUUGCGUUUCACUAAGAGCUUAUUAAAUUACGUAUGCUUGCUUGUAUAUUUGACCCCCAAUCUUUUUUUUUUUUAUUUUUUUAACUUUCAAGUCUUCUGGYUUUUAAGUUUUAAAAAUUUAAUUAAAAGAGAUUGUGUGUGUGUCAUUUAUGCAUUAAGCAGCAUACAAUUAAGCUCUGAAAGCAACGAACGUGACCGCAUCCUCUUGUUGCCUCUAAUUUUUUAUUCGUUGUAUUAAACUUCGGUUUUUUACUUUGAUAAGUAACAGAGGCUUUAAAACUAGAGGGACCGCUGUAACUUUUUUAAACCAGAGGAAGGUUGCGGCAAUAACAGGUCUGUGAUGCCCUUAGAUGUUCCGGGCUGCACACGUGCUACAAUGAUUGUUGCAGUGAGCAUCUCAUUUAAAACACCAUUGUUAGCUAAAUUUAAUUGUUUGACUUUUUUUAUGUUUGAGAAUGCUUUGAGACUUCGGUUGAUAAGUGAUUUUGAAUGUGAAGGAAGUUGAAUUAAUUUUAUUCAGUCAAACGAUGGUUAAGCCUGCUUCGAAAGUAAGUAGGUAAUCAAUCCAAAGUAACGAUUUCCCAGCUUUAGCACACCUAUAUGCAGCGUUUGUACCCAGACAUAAGCUUGCCUUAUGUUCUUGUGUGUAUGAAUGUUUUUUAACUGCAUGUGCUUGUGCCAAUUCAUGGUGGGGACAGACCAUUGUUAAUUGUUGGUCUCGGUCUUAACUAGGAAUGCCUUGUACGGGUCUUUGGUUCAACAAACCACCCGGAAUACGUCCCUGCCCUUUGUACACACCGCCCGUCGCUCUUACCGAUGGACUUCUCUGUGAGUUUGAGGGACUGGAAAUUUAGUUUUCUUCUGAAAAUUAAUAUUCUAUAGAAACUUAAACGAACAGUGUGGUCUAAAGGAAAGAGAAGUCGUAACAAGACAUCGGUAGGUGAACCUGCAGAAGGAUCA
rnacentral:rRNA from 1 species